CUUCUCCUAAAACCAAAGGAUUUUCAAUUUUUCAUUAAGACGUAGCUCAGAGGGCUGAGAAGAUCAGAAGAAGUAGAAAGGCUAUAAUACCAGAGGGUGUUCUUCACCAUUUCCUUCCUCCUCUGAAAGCACGUGAAAGACUCAUGAAGAACAAGAGCGCGCCGUGGAGCAUGAUGUUCCUAGUGUUCCUCGGGCAGCUAGUCUCCUUCUCCAUGGCAGUAUGCAGCUUUAUCACGUCUCAGAUUUCUAGCCUCGGAGCUGAUGCACCAUUUACGCAAUCAUUCCUUUCGUACCUUCUGUUGGCCCUGGUUUAUGGACCAGUUCUCCUGCAUCGACAACGCAAGUUUCUAAUGCCAUGGUAUUGGUACCUCGCCCUGGCCUUCAUUGAUGUCCAGGGAAAUUGUCUAGCGAUCAAGGCAUAUCACUACUCAUAUAUCACCAGCGUAAACUUGUUGAACUGUUGGACCAUCACAUGGGUCAUGAUCCUCACCAGGUUUGCACUAGGCACAAGAUAUUCUUUGUGGCAAUUUGUAGGAGCAGGGACUUGCAUGACUGGACUUGCCCUGGUACUCCUCUCGGAUUCAAAUUAUUCAGAUGUGCAGGAUGAAAGUAAAAGACCACUUCUGGGGGAUGCCCUUAUCAUUGUGGCGACAUUUUGUUUUGCAUUUAGCAAUGUUGGGGAGGAAUACUGUGUCAAGAACAAAGACAGGAUUGAAUUCGUUGCGAUGCUUGGAAUAUUUGGGAUGCUUGUCACUGGAAUUCAGCUAUCUCUUUUUGAGAGGAAGAAUAUAGAGACAAUUAAUUGGUGGUCACCAACAAUGAUAGGUCUCUUCAUUGGAUUUGCAGUAGCAUCUUUAGUGUUCAGCUCCAUUGCUCCUUUCGUUCUUAAGGUUAAGUUUCUACAAGUUGUUCAGACUUCAGACAUUUUUUUAGUGAUGAAAAUGACAUCUUGGGACAUAUCACAUCCCCAUUUACUAGUUCAAAAAGGCUUCCAUGGUCAUCUAACAGUGUCUCAGUUAGCCAUUCUGAAUUUCUGAUAGCACAACUCUUGCAGAUGAGUGGAGCAACUAUGUUUAACCUCUCACUUUUAACAACUGAUGUUUGGGCGGUCGCCAUUUGAGUUUUCCUCUAUCAUCAGCAGGUGAAAAUUUUCCAGUUCUGAAUAUGUGCGGGGUAAAUUAGAUGUAUAAUGCAUCAACAUUGUUAUGUGCAACCGCAGGUUAAUUGGCUCUACUAUCUAGCUUUUGCAGUGGUAGCCAUUGGAUUGAUCAUCUACUCCAUAAACGAGAGUUCAGAUGAUGAGACAGCUGCAAGUACAAUGGAAACUGAAACUCAGUAUGACUAUGAACAACUUUUAUGUGAAUAAACUGGUGGUGCUGUUUAGGACUGGCAAACAAUCAGGAAGAUCACAACUGUUAAUGGGUUAAUAAAGAAAAGUAAGCUCCAGGCAAUGGAAAAUGUUAUUUUGGAAAAUUCAGAUGUGAUGACAGAGCAUGUAUAUUAAAUACUGUAACCAUGGAUCGGUGAAAUAGGGCCUACCCCUGGAACCAGACAAGUUCAUGUGAGAAAUUUUCAGUUGUUUUCUAGCCAUUGCUGCUUCUUAAAUUUUGCAAAUUUGUAUUUUUAAAAUUGGACAGUAGCAUAUGCAUUAUAUUGAAGUGUGAGGAAAUAGGAUAGGAGGUGCACCAGGCCAAAGUUUAGGCCAACUCCAAUUUCCCAAAUAAUGAUUGUAAAUGGUCCAUAUAUGUAUACAUGUGCACAUUUAAGCAUAUUAUUGAAACAAACAUGGUGAUACAUAUUUGAACAUAGGACAAU